rnacentral:rRNA from 1 species
UACGUAGGUGGCGAGCGUUGUCCGGAUUUACUGGGCGUAAAGAGCGCGCAGGCGGUCGUUCAAGUCGCGUGUGAAAGCCCCCGGCUCAACUGGGGAGGGUCACGCGAUACUGAUCGACUCGAAGGCAGGAGAGGGUAGUGGAAUUCCCGGUGUAGUGGUGAAAUGCGUAGAUAUCGGGAGGAACACCAGUGGCGAAGGCGACUACCUGGCCUGUUCUUGACGCUGAGGCGCGAAAGCUAGGGGAGCAAAUGGG